rnacentral:rRNA from 1 species
CGUGUAGGCGGUUUGCCAAGUCAGAUGUGAAAGCCCCGGGCUUAACCUGGGAACUGCAUUUGAGACUGGUAGGCUAGAGGUUGGAAGAGGAGAGUGGAAUUCCCAGUGUAGAGGUGAAAUCCGUAGAUAUUGGGAAGAACACCAGUGGCGAAGGCGGCUCUCUGGUCCACACCCGACGCUGAGGCGCGAAAGCGUGGGGAGCAAACA